rnacentral:rRNA from 1 species
GUCUAUGGCCAUACCACCAUGAAUGCACCCAAUCUAGUCUGCUCUUGGAAGCUAAGGAGAGUUGGGCCUGGUUAGUACUUGGAAGGGAUAAAUGUGCCUGUAUUAAAGGCU